UUUUCGGAGAGUUUGAUCCUGGCUCAGGACGAACGCUGGCGGCGUGCCUAAUACAUGCAAGUCGAGCGGACAGAAGGGAGCUUGCUCCCGGAUGUUAGCGGCGGACGGGUGAGUAACACGUGGGUAACCUGCCUGUAAGACUGGGAUAACUCCGGGAAACCGGAGCUAAUACCGGAUAGUUCCUUGAACCGCAUGGUUCAAGGAUGAAAGACGGUUUCGGCUGUCACUUACAGAUGGACCCGCGGCGCAUUAGCUAGUUGGUGGGGUAAUGGCUCACCAAGGCGACGAUGCGUAGCCGACCUGAGAGGGUGAUCGGCCACACUGGGACUGAGACACGGCCCAGACUCCUACGGGAGGC
rnacentral:rRNA from 1 species